rnacentral:lncRNA from 1 species
UCUCGUCUCCUUUAGAAGAUUAGUCAUAUAUGUCUGUUGCGAAAUAAAGAUUCCUUCUCUGGAAUGAGCUACUCCCAUUCCUAGAAAGUACUUCAAUCUCCCAAGUUCUUUUGUCUUGAAUUCUUUGACUAGACAUCUUCUUAAGGCAUCCUUCUCCUUCUCCUUCUCAUCAUUUCCUAUUACAAUUAUGUCAUCAGCAUAUACCAAAAGAGUUGUGAUUCCCUCUACAUCCAAAUGCUUUAUAAAGAGUGAAUGAUCUCUCUGACUUUGUCUAUAUUCGAUAAUAAGCAUUACUUUGGAAAAUCUCUCAAACCAAGCCCUUGGUGAUUGCUUGAGAUCAUAUAGCACUUUCAUCAAUCUACAAACUUUAUUGUCUCUCAUAUUUCCCUUGAAGGUCGAAGGAAUAUCCAUGUAUAUCUCAUCCUUAAAUUAUCGUGAAGAAAAAAAAAUUUCACAUCAAAUUGCUCCAAAUACCAGUCAAAGUUAGCUACUAGAGGCAACAAAACUCUUACAAUAUUGAUUUUAGCCAUCAGAGCAAAUGUCUCGUGAUAGACAACACCAUAAGUUUGCAUAUAUCCUUUUGUCAUGAGUAUAGCCUUCUAUCUCUCCAAAGAGUCAUUUGACUUGUACUUCACUGUAAACACCCACUUACAUAUCAUAGAUUUCUUUCCUGGUGGUAAGUCAACAAUUUCCCAUGUUUGAUUCUUCUCUAGUGCCUACAUCUCUUAUCUCAUAGCAUCUUUCCAUUUCUCAUCAAAUAAUGCCUCAAAUAAUGUGUUAGGAAUGUGAAUGGUGUUUAGACUAACUAGAAAGGUACUAUGUGAGGAAAAGAAUUUUUUAAACAACACAAACUUCGCUAAUGGGUACAGUGGGUGUUUAGUGCAUUCUCUUGUGUCUUUCCUAAUGGCAAUAGGAAUGUCAAGAUCAUGUGUUAAUUGAGAAGAAAUUUCUGGUUCUGCAACUGUAUUUACCUUAUUCUAAGGGUUACGUGUUGAAUCUUGAAUUCGCUUAGGACUAGGAUUCAGGUUUCUUCGUCUUGAAUUUACCUGCAUAAAUCUCAUAGAGUCACAAAGUUCAUUAUUCUUUGUCAUAGAUCUAAUGCGAUGGGUGAAAAAGUUGAUAUAGACUGAGGUGGUUUGAUAGGUACAAGCAUGGAAGGUACAAACGUGGAAAGUUCGAGUUGGACUGGCACAAAGGUUGAGUUGGAGUUCUAAGGAGCCCUGAGUUCUAGUCCUGAAUUAUAUAAUAAGAAGCAUAGAAAAACACAUUACAGUUCAUAUCAUGGGUGAGCUUUUGUAUGGAUACUAGGUUGGUAAACAAUUUGGGAACAUGAAGGACAUUUUUUAGUGUAAGAUAUGGAUUGAUAUGGAUAUCCCCUAGACUGGCUACAAUAGUGAGAGAACCAUCUGCAAUGGCUAUUUUUCAAUUGCUUAGGCAAGAAGUAUAAGUGCUAAAAUUUAGUGAAGAGUGAGUCAUAUGAUCUCAGUCAUAUGAUCUAUGGCUCCUAAAUCAAUAUCCCAAAGAUUCUUGAUAGGUUCAUCUGGACAUUUAAUCCUUGAGAAAUAGAAAGUUUACUUGAGAGUGCAAGAGAGCAUGCACCAUUGGGUUUCUACAACAAUCCCAAAAGUCCACUUAUCUUCUUGAUCUUCUCCUUAUUGAAUUUGCUCUGGUCUUGAGACUUUUCUUGACUUGGUUGGUUCAUGGUAAAGGCUUGACCUUGGUUCCUUUGCUGGCCUUCUUGGGAGCCCCACUCUUUGCUUGAAGAUCUUGACGGAUUUGCCUUCCUAUUUUCUUAUAUUGGCGGUUGUUCCAUUUUUGUCACCAUGCUGAACCUUUCGAGACUUGGGGAUUCAAGCAUAACCCCCUUAUGACUCUUCUCAGCUCGAAUAAGAGAAAUGAUCUCAUUUAGAGAUGGCACCUCUUCCUUGCUAGGAAUUUGGACCCCGACUUGAUCAAACUCAGCGCUGAGUCCUGCAAGAAAAUUGUAGACUCGAUAUUUUUCAAUAAAAUUCUUCAAAUUGCAACAUCUUCGCAUUUAGUCUUAAUGCAUUGAUAAUGGUCAAGUUCUUGCCACAGGCUCUGCAAUAAAUUCACAUAAUAAAAGUUUUGCGGUCUUGUUUCGUCGCACUAGUCUUGACUUUAAUCUCUUACACUUGUGUUGCAUCAUAAGCCUUCAAAUACAUUUGUUGAACAGCAUCCGAAUCUCUUUAGUCGUGGACAAAAACAUGCGAGUGUUGCUAAUUUUAGGAUUCAUUGAGUUCCAUAACCAUGACAUGAUCAAGGAAUCCGCUUCAUCCCACAUAUCAAACCCCGAAUCUCCUUCCUUUGGCCUGAAUAUUCUGCAAGUCACCCAAUGCUUAAUGCGAGAUGACUUCCUUAGAUUGUACAAUGAUAUUCGAUGCCUUGGUCUCAAACAUAUUGGAUUGGGUUUAGCAAAAGAGUAAACACAGAGAAAACUGACAAUGAAGGUUGUAAAGAUUGAUAAGGUGAGGAAUAAAAAUUUAUAAGUUAUACUACUAUGACAUGAGAAAAAAAAAAAGGUCACUGGCGAUGAAGGCCAGAAGAAUCUGUCUUGAAAACUCUUUUACACUCGACAAUGAGGGCUAGAAAUAGUUCAAUGAGAGCCUUACUGCUCUGAUACCGUGUGGAUUUUGGGAGAAAAAUUAAGUCAAUUGUAUAUUGGAAAGAAACCUUUACAUGACUAUAUAUAAAGAUUACAAAGCUAAUUAAAAUAGGAAACUAACUCUUCCUAAAGCCAAAUUCCUAUAUUAGUGGGAUUCUAACUCUUCCUAAAAACAAAUUCCUAUAUUGGUAGGAUUCCUUAAUUGUUAUCCCAUAAUUCUAGGAAUGUCAACAAUACAUGUUUUCCAACACUAACUUAUCAGUAACUCUUUUAAUAAAGGAGUUAGGACCCAAGAGAUGUCAAAGAGAGAGGACAAGUUCCAUAGGCUCUUAGCUUUCCCCAUGUAGCCUAUCACUAGAAAACCCCUACUUUAUAGGAGGCUAAGAGCCUUAUAUUUCCUUUGAGAUGAAAAAUACUCCUAUGUUCUACUAUAAAACAAAAUAGAAAGAUUUCACUAAGAUUCCGAAUUGAAGUGUCUUUCUCCAUGCUAUACCAAGUUCUUAAUGCUUUUUUUUAUUGAUAGACAAAUGAGAAGUAUAUUAAAAGCUUGGCAUAUUAAAGUACACAUGAUGUAUUAAAUAAAUGCCAAUCUAGAUGGGAAAAAGUUAAAUAAGAUGCAACUCGGUAAUGCUAUCCACCUCCUAACCUUGGAAAUGUCUUAGGGAACAUAGAUUCCAAAGGACCUACCCAUUCUCUAUGACCUAAACACUAGCUCAUUCAGCAAGGGAAUGGGUAUUUUCACAAAGACGAUGUUUUCUCGACUAGUCGAGUUCACUAAAUGCUUUAGGUUAGGCCAAUUCCCUCCCCUGCCACCCACAACAGGCUAUUCCCAAUCAGCUCUCAAUAAAGUCAAGUAAAAAAAUUGAAUGAUCCAUCCCGGAAUUGGAUUAUUCAACUAGGAGAGAGAUGUGGGAGUACCCUACGUCGAAUGGAUGCAUUGUGAAAGGUUGGCACUAGCCACCGAAGCCUACAUAAAAUCUACACAAAGAAAAAGGAGAGAGAAAAGAUUCCUUUAAAGGAGAAUCACCAUACUAAACACGUUGCCAAAAUUUGUUUCUUUUCUCUUUGCCUACCACAAAUCUUAUUAUGACCUUAAAAGCUUUCCACCCUUUCUUAUUCUCUUCCACAGGCUACUGCUAUACCCUUUUCUCCCAACUUGAGAGCAUCAUCCUCCUUGCUCCUCCCCAAAUUUUUGCACUAUGACCUUUUAAUGAGAAUGAAUCUCCAAAAUCUACUUAAGAAAUGGAUGGAAAACACGAAUAGAAUCUUGGAAUACUUUAUUUAAGGUAUUGUAGUUUUUUUAGGUUCUCAUAAUUAAUUAGUUGUUGGUAUUUUAGAUGCAUUUAAUAUUUGGAAAGUUUUUUUAUUAAAAAUCUCCUCAAAAGAAUUUUCUAUAUUUCUGAACUUUUUAUUUUCUUAAAAGAAAGUUUCUUAUUUCUAAAAAUUCUAGUUAAAUCCUUAAAAUCUAGAAGUUUUUUUUUUAUUAUUAGAAAUUCUUAUUGCAAAAAGUUUCUGUUCUAAAAAGAAAGUUUACUUUUUAAUAUAUUUUAUUUUUAGUAGAUUUAAUAGUUUUAAGAAAGGAACAAGAAUCUUAUUAACUUAUUACAUAAAUCAAGUUUGUAUUUUUAUGAUUUUAUUUAGUUUUUAGUGUUUUUCAAGGCCUAUCAAUAAAGCUAAUUGUUGCAAUAUGAGAUUGAUGAUGAAUAAUACACUUUUCUUUUAGGUGAGACUCAAAUCUUUUUCAUUAUCUUUUCUUUUUCUGUUUUUUUUUUUUUUUUUUUCCUAUUGAUACUCCUUAAGCCCGAAAAAAUUGAGGCCCUAGACCACCUAUUUGAAUAUAGAGAGUCAUCCUAGGUUUGUCCUACAUCACCCUCAUCUAACUAAUCCCUCUCUAAAGAAAAUGUUCAAUACUUGUUUCUUUGUAAGACUAUAUCAAGAGUAGACAAACACUUUAAUACCUAAAACCCCCUUUCUUUUUAUCUUUGCAAAUCGAUGACCAUUCUACUAGAUGAGAUUUCUUCUCUGGAGCCCCUCAUCUUUGUAUCAAGUCCCAUUUAAUAUCUUUCCAAUCUCAAUGCCAUCACCUUAGGUACAACAAAAAGGGAUCUGAAAUAAAUAGGCCAAUUGCUAAUUUUUAGCAAAGAUCUUGUACCUUUUGAGAGGUGUUGUCCUUUCCAUAGAGUAAACCUUUUUAAAAACCUCUCUUAAAAAGAGCUCCCAAAUGCAGGUUUAAACAAGUGGCAUGAACUUUCCUCACCCUGGACCUAUCUUACUAGAAUUAUUUCACUUUUGUACAAGUUAACUUCCAAUCUUGAAGAAGCCUCAAACGUUAACAAAACUCAACUCGUAUAGGUCUACUGAUCUGGACAAGGAUUGCAAAAAAGUAAGGUGUCGUCAGCUAAUCAUGGUCUGAUAAAAAAAAAUAUCAGAAUCUUGUGGAAAGUACUAUCAUGCCUAGAUUCAUGUGAAAAUUGGCAUCCAAUGGUUGUGAGGGCUACAUGUAGGGUGGUCUUUAAGUGGUUGGCGAGUUGGUGUUGGUUCUAUUAUAAACACUAUAAGAAGAGUAUCAAAUAAGGUAUUGUAGGUUAUGCUAAAUCAUGUUUUGAAGCAAGGGCACUUUACAUUUUUUCAAACACUUCCUCCACAAAUAUGAUUUGAUGUUAAGGACAAAAUGUGUUUGAAACAGUUGUGCUGAAUAUUCUAGGUGUUUAAUUGUAUUAAAUGUGUGUAUAAUGGGCAUGUCUAUACAUCUCUUUUUAUUUGAACUCUAGAUUAAGCAAAAUAAAUUCUACAUAAUUGUGAACUAGAAAAUAAAACCAGCAUGACUUCAUGCUCACAGACAACUUUUCAAGGACGAAUAUGAUUAAAAUUUCCUAAAUUUUAGGAAAUUGCCAAUUCGUAACCCAAAUGUGUAUUAAGUGAAAUCAUGUAAUUUUUCUUUAUUUCCAAUUUUGAAGAACUCCAAGGUCACUGGUGUAGUAUAAUGGUACUCCCACACCACCAUUGCAAGAACUUCACCAAAGAGAAAGGACACCAAACAACCACAGAAGACUUAUUGGGUAACAAAAUAAAAGGUAGCCCAGAAGAACAAGUUGGCUGCUGUCUUUGUCUUAAUGUCUGAAGCUUCCACAGUGCUAUCAUUUGUAUUUGUUAAAUAUAAUGUAUUUAUAGUAUAUUAUCUUUCCUUGUUAAUAUAGGUCACAUGUAUGGUAGUUAGGACUCCUAGCCUUGUAUAUAUAUAUCUCUCAAUUGUAAGUAGAUAUUACAUGAAUGAGAAAUAAGGUUUUUUUCUCCUUUCUCUCUCUCUCAACAUGGUAUCAGAGCCAAGGAAGAAAACCUAAUUCUUUCCUAUUUCCCGUGUCAUCAACUCCGGGAAACCUUCCGGUGACCGUGUUUCAUUCCGGUCACCUUCCCCAUCUCCCAAUACUUUCGGAUCGUCGUCAGAAACCACUCACUGCCGGCGAAAUUUUCCGGCGAACUUUCCGGCGAACUUUCCGGCGACGUCUUUUUCCGACACCGACCACACCAAGAGGAGCGCUUGGAGGAGAUCUCCAACUUUCUCAAAAGCAUCGGAGCCAGAAAACCUUCCAUGCGCCGGCCACGCGCACUUCUACUACCGGCGACUGAAUCUCACGCGCCGGCGCGUGAGGCCUUUUCCGGUGACGCGCCUCCUCCUCCAGCCUCGCCUGCCGCCGACCAGCAUCCCUACCUACCUGGUUCUCCCAUCCGAGCCCUGCACGUACCUCUUUUGGGGAUUUUUGUCUCCGUCAGCCCUCCAAACAGCCUUCCGGCGAAGUUCCGGCUACUUUCUCUCCACCCCAAUCCCUGCACGUGCCUUGGGAAGUGUUCUUCUACCUUUCUGGUGGUACCACGUCGCGAUCUGAGGCCGUCUCCCUUUUUCGGUGGUGCCACGCCGCAAUCUGAAGCCGUAUUAGGGCUCUCUUCGAUCCAAAUACGUGAAUAUGACCACCAAAAAUCAGAUCUUUACCUCUGUUCUCUCUGGAUCUCCUCUGAUUACCUCAGAGAAAUUGGUUGGCAGUGAGAAUUAUCUCUCCUGGUCUGCCUCUGUUGAACUUUGGUUUAUGGGUCAAGGAUAUGAGGAUCACUUGGUUACCCAAGAGGCAGAUAUCCCUGAGGUUGACCGCGUACAGUGGAGGAAGAUCGAUGCACAGUUAUGUAGUGUAUUAUGGCAAUCGGUUGAUCCCCGGAUUCUUCUUCAUCUUCAGGCCUAUAAAACUUGUUUUAAAUUUUGGACUCAGGCCAAAGGAUUAUACACGAAUGAUAUCCAGCGUCUUUAUAAGGUGGCUUCUGCUAUUGUCCAUCUCAGCCAACAGGACUUGGAUCUAUCUACUUAUAUUGGUCAGAUUGCCUCUCUUAAGGAGCAGUUCUUGACUGUGAUGCCUCUUACUCCUGAUGUUGGGGCUCAACAAACACAGCUUGACAAGUUCUUCAUGGUCCUUACUCUUAUUGGCCUCCGUCCGGAUCUUGAGCCUAUUCGUGAUCAGAUUCUUGGUAGUUCAUCAGUUCCGUCCUUGGAUGAUGUGUUUGCUCGCCUCCUCCGUAUCUCGUCCACUCAGACUUUGCCAUCUGAUAGCGCUUCAGAUUCUUCUGUGUUAGUUUCUCAAACUACCUCUCGAGGAGGACGCAGUGGUACCCGAGGUAGAGGCCAACGUCCUCAUUGCACCUAUUGCAAUAAACUUGGCCACACUCGCGAUCGUUGCUAUCAGUUACAUGGAAGACCUCCUCGCACUGCCCAUAUGGCCCAGUCCUCUGAUUCUCCGCUGCCUCAGACUCCGAGCUCCUCCGCAUCUCAGACAUCUCAGGCUUCUAUUGCCUCUGUUGCCCAGCCUGGUAAUGCCUCUGCCUGCCUUACCCACACAUCUUCUCUUGGACCCUGGAUUCUAGAUUCUGGAGCAUCUGAUCACCUAUCUGGUAAUAAGGAUCUUUUCUCCUCUAUUACUACUACUUCUGAUUUACCUACUGUUACCUUAGCUAAUGGUUCUCAAACUGUGGCUAAAGGUAUUGGUUUGGCCCUUCCUCUGCCUUCUCUACCUCUCACUUCUGUCCUUUAUACUCCUGAAUGUCCUUUUAAUCUUAUUUCCAUCAGCAAAAUCACUCGUACUCUUAAUUGCUCUAUUACCUUUUCUGAUAAAUUUGUGACCUUGCAGGAUCGGAGUACGGGGAAGACGAUUGGCAUAGGACGUGAGUCUCAAGGCCUCUAUCACCUCACCUCAGAUUCAUCUCCUGCAGUUUGCAUUUCCACUGAUGCUCCUUUCCUCAUUCACAAUCGUCUGGGCCACCCUAGUCUCUCCAAGUUCCAGAAGAUGGUUCCUCGUUUUUCCACCUUGUCGUCGCUUCCGUGUGAGUCAUGUCAGCUUGGGAAACAUACUCGUGUCUCGUUCCCAAAGCGUUUGAAUAAUCGGGCAAAGUCUCCUUUUGAGCUUGUCCACACUGAUGUUUGGGGUCCUUGUCGGACUGCGUCUACUUUAGGAUUUCAGUAUUUUGUCACUUUCAUUGAUGACUAUUCUCGAUGUACUUGGUUAUUUUUAAUGAAAAAUCGAGCUGAGUUAUUCUCUAUUUUCCAGAAAUUUUAUACUGAAAUCCAAACCCAGUUCAAUAUUUCUAUUCGUGUGUUACGCAGUGACAAUGCCAGGGAAUAUUUUUCAGCCCAAUUUACUUCGUUUAUGUCUCAUCAUGGGAUUCUUCAUCAGUCUUCUUGUGCUCAUACUCCUCAACAAAAUGGGGUAGCUGAACGCAAGAAUCGACAUCUUGUUGAGACAGCUCGUACUCUCCUCCUCCAUAGUCACGUUCCUUUUCGCUUUUGGGGGGACGCUGUUCUUACCGCUUGUUAUUUGAUUAAUCGUAUGCCCUCCUCUGUCUUACACGAUCAGAUUCCUCACUCCCUUCUUUUCCCUGACCAACCACUUUAUUUCCUUCCUCCUCGUGUCUUUGGUUGUACUUGCUUUGUUCAUAUUCUCACUCCUGGACAGGACAAGCUUUCCGCCAAAGCCAUGAAGUGCCUCUUCUUGGGCUAUUCCAGGCUUCAGAAGGGUUAUCGUUGUUAUUCCCUUGAGACUCAUCGAUACUUUAUCUCCGCUGAUGUCACCUUCUUUGAGGAUUCACCGUUCUUUUCCACCACUUCUGAGUCUCUUCCUGUUUCUGAAGUCUUGCCCAUUCCCAUUGUCUCCCCACCUGAUGCUAUGCCCCCUCGACCACUUCAGGUUUAUCAUCGUCGCCCUCGUGUCGUUGCUCCUCUCCCUUUUCCUGAGGCACCUGCUGACUCACUUCCUAUCCCUUCGGCUUCACCUGCCCCGGCUCUGCCUUCUCCUAAUGACUUACCCAUUACUGUUCGGAAAGGUACUCGCUCUACUCGUAAUCCUCAUCCUAUUUACAAUUUUUUGAGUUAUCAUCGAUUAUCUUCACCCUAUUCUGCUUUUGUUUCUGCUAUAUCCUCUGUUUCUCUUCCAAAGAGCACCCAUGAAGCUCUUUCCCAUCCAGGCUGGCGACAGGCAAUGGUGGAUGAAAUGACUGCUCUGCACUCUAAUGACACUUGGGAUCUUGUUGUUUUACCCUCUGGUAAAUCUACAGUUGGUUGUCGUUGGGUCUAUGCAGUUAAGGUUGGUCCUGAUGGUCAGGUUGAUCGCCUUAAGGCCCGCUUAGUUGCUAAAGGCUAUACUCAAGUUUAUGGUUCUGAUUAUGGUGACACAUUCUCCCCUGUUGCCAAGAUUGCUUCUGUCCGCUUGCUUCUCUCCAUGGCUGCUAUGUGUUCUUGGCCUCUUUAUCAGUUGGAUAUUAAAAAUGCCUUCCUCCAUGGUGAUCUUGCCGAGGAAGUUUAUAUGGAGCAACCUCCUGGUUUUGUUGCUCAGGGGGAGUCUGGUUUAGUGUGCAGGUUACGCCGUUCUCUAUAUGGCUUGAAACAAUCUCCUCGAGCAUGGUUUAGCCGUUUUAGUUCUGUUGUUCAAGAGUUUGGCAUGCUUCGCAGUACAGCAGACCAUUCAGUUUUUUAUCAUCAUAACUCCUUGGGGCAGUGUAUUUAUCUGGUUGUUUAUGUGGACGACAUCGUCAUUACAGGCAGUGAUCAGGAUGGUAUUCAGAAACUAAAGCAACAUCUUUUUACCCACUUUCAGACCAAAGACUUGGGGAAACUCAAGUAUUUCUUGGGAAUUGAGAUAGCUCAAUCCAGUUCUGGUGUGGUCCUUUCCCAAAGGAAGUAUGCUUUAGACAUCCUGGAAGAAACCGGUAUGUUAGACUGUAAACCGGUAGACACACCUAUGGACCCGAAUGUCAAACUUGUACCAGGACAGGGGGAGCCUUUAGGAGACCCCUAGAGAUAUCGACGGCUCGUAGGUAAAUUGAACUAUCUCACCAUUACUCGUCCAGACAUUUCUUUUCCUGUGAGUGUUGUUAGUCAAUUCCUACAGUCACCAUGUGAUAGCCAUUGGGAUGCCGUGAUCCGUAUUCUUCGAUAUAUCAAAAGUACACCAGGCCAAGGUGUAUUGUACGAGAACAGAGGUCAUACUCAAGUUGUUGGUUACACAGAUGUAGAUUGGGCUGGCUCACCCACAGAUAGACGUUCCACUUCAGGGUACUGUGUUUUUAUUGGAGGUAAUCUAAUAUCUUGGAAGAGUAAGAAACAAGAUGUAGUGGCCAGAUCUAGCGCUGAAGCCGAGUAUCGAGCUAUGGCUUUGGCAACAUGUGAACUCAUAUGGUUGAGACAUCUUCUUCAGGAGUUGAGAUUUGGAAAGGAUGAACAGAUGAAACUCAUCUGUGAUAACCAGGCCGCAUUACAUAUUGCAUCCAAUCCAGUCUUUCAUGAAAGGACCAAGCAUAUUGAAGUUGACUGUCAUUUCAUUAGAGAGAAGAUCGCAUCAGGAUGUGUUGCUACAAGUUUUGUCAAUUCAAAUGAUCAACUAGCAGACAUCUUCACUAAAUCUCUCAGAGGUCCUAGGAUUAAAUAUAUUUGUAACAAGCUUGGUGCAUAUGACGUAUAUGCUCCAGCUUGAGGGGGAGUGUUAAAUAUAAUGUAUUUAUAGUAUAUUAUCUUUCCUUGUUAAUAUAGGUCACAUGUAUGGUAGUUAGGACUCCUAGCCUUGUAUAUAUAUAUCUCUCAAUUGUAAGUAGAUAUUACAUGAAUGAGAAAUAAGGUUUUUUUCUCCUUUCUCUCUCUCUCAACAGUAUUUUUAUCUAUUCAUGGUUCUAAAAUUUGUAGUAGCAUAAAGUUGUUUUGGACACCCCUUAUCUGUGUGAGAUCAGUCUUGGAUGACAAGAUUUUGGCAGAAAUUUGUUUAGUGUUGACAUUGGUUGAGAGCCUGUCAUGCAAUAACCAUAAAUUUUGGUAGUUCAUAUACUGAUUCAUAAAGUUGACUCAAUAGUUGGGUCUGGCUCUGGUUCAGUCAAUAAAACUGGAGCAUUUUGAUCAAAAUUUUGAAAUUUAUAUUUAACUUUUUGCUGGAAUGUUUUAGUUUUGCUAAUUUUGUGACUGUUCUCUUUCUUUUUUAUGAUUAUAACUAAUUUGUUUUUAAGUUUUGCAUAACAUAGGGGGACCCAGGUACUAAGGGGAAUUUUGCCACUCGUGUUGCUGGAUCUUCCGACCUAUACAAAGUAAGAAUUACCAAUGUCUUAACUGUCAUGAUUGUGUUAUCACUAUGUAAUUUUGCCUUUGCAUAUUUUAUUUUGGAGAUUAAAAAAUUUGCAGUAAUAAGCUUAAAAAUUUAUAGAUUAUUAAUUGUUCCAUGUGUCAUAAAACUUUGGCUUCAAUUUUCUAUAUUUUUUUUUUCAAUUGUAACUAUUUAGGGAUCAGUUUGGCUUAUAAAUAUGGACAUGGAAAUGAGGUUCAUUAUUGACCUUGGGGCUCUAUGUGAUGUUGCAUUUCCCUAUACUUCAGUACCUUUACAGAUUAAGGCAGAAUGGUUUUCACAUUCAAUCCAAAGGAAGGGUCAAAAAUCCAAAUUAUAUAUUUGGAAUUUGGAAAGCUUGACCUGUUAAGAAAUAACUGACAUUGACCAAAUAACUAUUGCAUGUUCAUGUAUAUCCAAUUAAGACAUUUCUUUCUGUAAUCCGUCAUAAGCAUCUCUUUAUGAGUAUUCCCAUCCAUCCUGAAUAUCCUACCAUGUGAAAAUACAUAUAAAGCACCCAUUUCAUACUUCUCCCUACAAUUGCUCAACAAAGCCUUAGUUAGCAUUGUUGCAUGAAUUUUUUUCCACUGCCUGAUUCCAUCUGGAGUCUUGUUAAGUACUGUUCUUUUUUUUUUUUUAAGAACUUCUUAUGCCAUUAUACAGAUAUUCUUUAGCUGUAAAUUAUCUAUAGGAAUUUUACAGAUAUUUUCCUCCAUUUUCUCUUUCUAGUUUUUAGCCUUGAAUCCUAGCCUUACUCAUGUAUAUAUUUAACAACAACCAUGUGCACAUUUAAAUGAGUUAGAUUAAUAGAAAAAAAUUUCAUCUUUUCCCUCAGUAACACAACCAUAAAUUCAUUUAGACACAAUCCAUCACAGCGUCAAGAUGGUAGAUCAUGUGUUUUUCAAAAUGAACUAUCAUCUUUACUCAAUAUAUAUGUACAUACAUACACGUUAGUAUAAUUCUCUACCUAUUUUGCAGGUGAAUAAGCGCAAACCAUACCACAGUGUAAAUUUUGUUAUUGCACAUGAUGGGUUUACAUUGUACGACCUUGUGUCAUACAAUUCUAAGGUAGUUUCAGGCAGACAUUUUUUUCAUUUUGUUUUCAGUGGGUUCUGUAGUGUGCAGUCUUUGUAUUAAUUGUUGGUUUUGUUGUAGCACAAUAAUGCUAAUGGAGAGGGUGGAAAGGAUGGAACUAAUGAUAAUUUUAGCUGGAAUUGUGGUUUUGAAGGUAAGGACCCUGUGUGCUACUUGCAUCUUAAUUUCUUUUCAUUAAUUCUUUUGAAGGUCUGAAGACUGAAACACCUCUAUCUGGAGCUCUAAAUAAGUGAAGUAAUUAUUUUGGUACCUGUGCUGUUAUAUUAUAAGCAUGCAGUGGAAUAACUAUGGUUUAUGAAUCAGUUUCAUACAAUGCAAUUGGUUUUGAUGCAACCAUGUAUCUGCUGAUAUGUGGUAUUAUGCUUAGUAGUGAAAUAGAUCUAAAUUAUUCACGGAAGUAAUAUUAAAAUUUUACCAAAGAUAUAUAUUCAACAAUGAGAUGAGUAUUGAUGUCUUAUAUAUUAACAUUCAUGUACACUACAUUAUAAUAUCAAGGCAAAAGUGCAUUACAGAUCAGACAAUCUUGAGCAAUUUUACUGAAAACUCACCAUUACAAAACCGAAUUAACUUAUAUUUCUUCAUUUUGAUAUGUCACAGUAAAAAAGAAGUGUACUACUAAAAGGGGAAAAAUGGCUUGUAGGCAUUUUUCUAACUAACAGGACUUAAAACCUGCCAUGUGUUUUAGGUGUUUUUAUCUGUGUCUAUCUGAUGAUCCUGUAUUAGUUUCCCAGCAAAGACAAAGCAUUAGAUCCUAAAUAUUUUGAGGAUUCAGCAUUAAUUUCUAAUUAGCUUAAUGAUUCCAUGUCUCAAGUCAGAAAGUUUUUCCAUUUCUUUAUUUAUUGAACAGGAGAAACUGCUGAUGCUAAAAUUAAAGCUUUACGUUCCCGGCAAAUGAAGAAUUUCCACUUGGCAUUAAUGUGUUCCCAGGUAAAUGAAUCUGAAAGUCAAUGUUCAUGCAUCAUGCACUCCUUUAUUGCUACAUGAACAAGCUUCAAAUGGUGUACAUUCCUUUAGCAAUCUAUCUCCCUCUGGUUCCCCUCUCCCUUACUAACUUGAACUCCAUUUCAAAUUUUGUGCUUUCUAAUGUAGUUGAUCGAGUGACUUCAAUGCAUUGAUUCAUGUGUUGAUUUUUGCUGGUUUAGUUGCACGUGUGAAUGAAUUAUUUGUAUUGACAAUAAUUCAUUGGUUAUUAUUCUAAAUUCACCACCUUAUGGUGAAGCAUUGCAACUUAAACAAAGACUUGUUGGUAAAGAGCAUAGGGGUAUUUUCCUUCUUGACUAAGGCUCCAUUUGGAGCAAUGAAAGUUUGAGAAAAAAAAAAUGAGGAGAAAGUUAAGAAAAUUAGGAAAAUAAAAAUAAGUUUAAGCUCAUUUUUUUCUAUCAUAAUUCUCCAACUUUAUUUCCUUUUAUAUAGAGAAUGAGAAAUUUAAAAUAUAUUAAUUUAAAUUUAUUGAAAAUUAUUAAAAAAAUUAUGCAUUUACAAAAUGUCAUUCUGUAAUUUAAAAAUUAAAUAAUUAGGAGAAACUGGAAAAAAAUUAUUUCAAAUUUUUUUUCUCUUUUUGCAUUUUCUUUCUUCUUUUGUAGCCUUAUCCCUUCCUUAAUAGCUAAGGUCUAAAUGAAGCAUAUGGGAUAAAAACCUCUCAUUUAGACUUCCGCUUAAAAAAUGAAAAACUAUGAGGUUGAAUCUAUGGUGCUUUUAUGUAGUGACAAACUCAUUUUGGAAGUUUUUGAGCUAUUACUUCAUUUAGUGCUCUUGUGUUCAAAUAAACCAAAAUUAUAGAUCUUGUGAUUGAAUGCAGAAAGGGAAAAACUAAUGCACUAUUAUUCAAUUCAAAAAAGGAAGAAAAAACUACUGAAUAAAUAAACUCAGUUACUGAUAGAAGACCUAAACAAAAUCCUUUAUUCUAGAGAUGAACCGUUUCAAAUUUAAACUCCUAAAAAAAGGACAACAACCUAACAAAUAGAUCAUUAAAAGAUUUGAGAUAAAUCAAAAAACGGAAUCCACAACACUCCCCCUCUAGCUAGGCAAAAAACAUUGAGCAUUCCCAGCUUGUCUGCCAAGUUUUUGAAUGCUGGUCUUCCAAGACCUUUUGUCAGCAAAUCACUAGCCUGCUCGGAUGUAGGGACGUAUGACAUGCAAAUAAUUCCUUUUUCAAUCUUUUCCUUAAUAAAAUGUCUAUCUACCUCAACAUGUUUAGUAUGAUCAUGAUGCACUAGAUUAUAGAAAUACUUAUGGCAACUUUGUUGUCACAACAAAGCUUUAUAGGACCACCAUUUGAAACUUUUAAAUUCUUUUAAUAAUAGCUUCAACCUUGUCCAUCUCUUCUAGCUUCAUCAAAAUCUGGUGGUAAGUCCAUGUAUGCUUCUUCCUUGAGAUCCCCAUUAGAAAGGCAUUCUUAACAUCUAGUUGUUGAAAAGGCCAAUCUAAGUUGGCAACCAAGGAUAGAAGAAUCCAAACUAUGUAGGGCCUAGCAAUUGGAGCAAACAUCUCUUGAUAAUCGAUACCAAGUGUCUAUGUGAACCCUUUUGCUACAAGUAUGGCCUUAUAUCUUUCAACCAAGCCAUUGGAAUUAUACUUCAUAGUGAAAACCCAUUUGCAUCCAACUUGGGUAUUUCCUUUUUGCCUUUUCACUAGUUUUCACUUUCCAAUUUUUUCAAGACCUUUUAUUUGUUCUAUCAUCACUUUCCUUCGUUCAGAAACUUUUAAGGCUUCUUCCACAUUUCUUGGAAUUUCAAUAUCUGAAAGGUUAGUGGCAAAUACAUGGAAAGAAGGUGACAGAUGACUAUAAGAUACAUAGUUAGAGAUUGGGUGUUGAGUGCGAGAUCCAACACCUUUUCUCAUUGAUAUGGAAACAUCAAGAUCAUUUAUUGCAAAAUUAGGAUUGGGAUUGGGCUUGAAAAAAUGUGUGCCUAUACUCAGUUUGAAUCCUCCUAACCAUGCUAAGAGUCCACGGAGUUUUCCACCCUUUGAGAAUUAUUUCGACAUGAAUAAACCAGUAACUUAGGUUGUGGUUGUAAUUCUCCCUCUAAGGAAGAAGUGUUAUUGCUUAUAGGUGUUCAUCAACUCUGGUGGGUUUGAUGAAGAGGACAAAAUUGGAAUAUCUAAAGGUAAAGGAGACUUAGUAGAAGAUAAAGGCAUGAUUGGUGUUGGUAGAGAUGUAUCCUAAAAAUUCCUUUAUCUUGAAUUCUCCCCCUAAAGGGAAUUUUGAGGAUAAGAAAGUUGUUGCUCAAAGAAAGUGACAUUCAUUAAAACAAAGUACUUAUGUUUUGUAGGAGAAUAACAUCAAUAUCCUUUUUGUGUGGUAGAGUAUCCCAAGAAAAUACAUUUUAAGGCUUUGGGAUAUUACAUCAUGAGGAUGAACAUGGACGUCAAAGUGGUUAAGAAUCGAAGUGGUGACUCUUGUUUAGGGAAAAAACUGAAGGAGAGUAUUUAGGGAUGUUUGGUACCGGAGAACUCAAGAGGACAUUCGGUUUAUCAAGUGCAAAGUGGUAAGAAUAGCAUCAAACUAGAGUUGUUUGAAAAUGUUCAUUGAAGACAUGAGACCAUAGGAAACAUCAAGAAGAUGACGAUUUUUAUGGUCAACAAUUCCAUUUUGUUGUGAUUCCCCAAGUAUUGAAUUAAAAUAUUUCUUUCCAGUAUCAAUAUGAAAAAAUUGUAUUUUUUGUUUGAAACUAAUUUUGGAUCAUGGAAUGAAAAUUUUUAAAAAUUUGUUCAGCAUCAAAUUGAUCCUUCAAUAGGUAUGCCCAACAUAAACGAGUGUGAUCAUCAACAAAAGUAAUAAUCCAUUUUUUUCCAUGAGUGUUUUGAAACAGUGAAGGACCCCAAAUAUAGUUGUGUAUCAUAGCUAAUGGUUUUGACACUUUGUAAGGCCAAAAAGGAUUAAAAAAAAAAUACAAGAAUGCUUAGCUAACUAACACGCUUUACAUUGCAAAUUAACAAGUUUUUUUUUUAAACAAAGAAGGAAACGGAGUCUAUAAAUAUAGAAAGCUUGGAUGGCUUAAUCUAUGGUACCAUAGCAUUAUUUCUAGACACAAAUGGAGAAUUACAACUAACAAUUUGAUCAUGUUUAUUCAUAUUGACAUCCUUCACAUAGUAGUAUAGUUUUUGUUAGAUAGUGUACAGUUAUUUCAGUUAUUUACUUUUCCUUUUCUUUCCUUAUUGUAUUGUGGGUCCCACUGACAUGUAUAUAUAUACCCAAGUCCAAUGUGUAUUAUCAAUAGUUUUUAAUAACAAAAAUUAGGGAUUCUCCCUUUUCUCUCUUUUCACAUGGUAUCAGAGCUUAGGGAGAAAAAAAACCUAAUUAUUUCCGAUUUAUCCGUGAAUCAAUUUUGGGAAACCUUUCAGUGACCAUGUUUCAUUCCGGUCACCUUUCCCAUCUCCUAAAGCUUUCCGGUUAACCGUAUCGCCGUCAGAAAACCCUCACUGCCGGUGACAUUUCCGACGACUUUUUCCGGCGAAGUUUUUUUCUGACACCAACCAUAUCAUCAGGUGCGCAAGGAAGAGAUCUUCAAGUUUUGUCAAAGCACCAAAGGGAGAAUAUCGGUCACGCGCCGGCCACUCGCAUUUAUUCUCCGGCAGCUUGAACCUCACGGGCCAGCGCAUGGAGCACUUUCUGGCAACACGCUUCCACCUCCAGCCUUGCCUGACGCUGUCUAGCCAAUCUCCAUCUGUGCUUUUGCCAUCCGAGCCUUGCAAGUGCAUUUUUUUGGGUUUUUGUCUCCGUCAGCCCUUUAAACAGCCUUUCCGGCGACCUCAGGUGACUUCCUCUCCACCCCGAGCCCUGCACGUGUCUUAGGAAGUGUUCUUCUAUCCUUCCAGUAGUGCCACAUUUGUUUUUCUUUACUAUUUGGUCUCUCACAGCCGCGGAUCCUCGGUUUUUCUUCUUUCAGCCACGAUCUGAAAUCGUAUUAGGGCUCUCUUUGAUCCAAACAUAUUUCAUUCUCCAGAUAAGUAGAUAUGACUACUAAAAGUUCCAUUUUUUCCUCUGUUAUAUCUGGAUCUCCUAUGAUUACUUCGGAGAAAUUAGUUGGCAAUGAAAAUUAUUUGUCUUGGUCUGCCUCUGUGGAGCUUUGGUUUAUGGGUCAAGGUUAUGAGGAUCACCUUGUUACGCAGGAGGCAGAUAUCCCUGAGGUUGACAGAAUACAAUGGAGGAAGAUAGAUGCACAAUUAUGUAGUGUGUUAUGGCAAUCAGUUGAUCCUAAGAUUCUGUUUCAUCUUCGGGCCUACAAAACAUGCUUUAAAUUUUUGAAUCAGGCGAAAGGGCUAUACAUGAAUGAUAUCCAACGUCUUUAUAAGGUGGCUUCUUCUAUUGUCAAUGUCAGACAACAAGACAUGGAUUUAUCUACUUAUAUUGACCAAAUUGUCUUUCUUAAGGAGGAAUUCUUGAUCGUGAUGCCUCUUACUAUUGAUGUUGGGGAUUAACGAAUACAGAUUGACAAGUUCUUCAUGGUUCUUACGCUUAUUGGCCUCUGUCCAGAUCUUGAGACCGCCCGCGAUCAACCACUUUAUUUCCUUCCUCCUCGUGUUUUUUGUUGUACUUGCUUUGUUCAUAUUCUCACUCUUGGAUAGGACAAACUUUCUGCCAAAGCCACAAAAUGCAUCUUCUUGGGAUACUCCAGACUUCAAAAGGGUUAUCGUUCAUCGCUACUUUUUCUCCGCUGAUGUCACCUUAUUUGAGGACUCACCAUUCUUCUCCACCUCUGAGUCUCUUCCUGUUUCUGAAGUCUUACCCCUUCCCAUUAUCUCUCCACCUGAUGCAGUGCGUUCUCGCCCACUUCAGGUUUAUCAUCGUCAUCAUCGUGUCGUUGUUCCUCCUUCUUUGGUCGAGGUACCUGUUGACUCACUUCCUAUCCCUUCGGCUUCUCCUGCCCCGGUUUUGCCUCCUUCUGCUGACUUACCCAUUGUUUUUCGGAAAGGUAAUCGAUCUACUCGUAAUCCUCAUUCCAUUUACAAUUUUUUGAGUUACCAUCGAUUAUCUUCACCCUAUUCUGCAUUUGUUUAUGCUAUAUCUUCUGUUUCUCUUCCCAAGAGCACCCCUGAGGCUCUUUCCCAUCCAGGCUGGCUACAAACAAUGGUAGAUGAAAUGGCUGCUUUACACUCCAAUGACACUUGGGAUUUUGUUGUUUUACCCUCUGGUAAAUCUACAGUUGGUUGUCGUUGGGUCUACACAGUUAAGAUUGGCCCUAAUGGUCAGGUUGAUCGCCUUAAGGCCCGCUUAGUUGCUAAAGGCUAUACUCAGGUUUAUGGUUCUGAUUAUGGUGACACUUUAUCUCCUGUUGCCAAGAUAACUUUUGUUCGUCUAUUGCUCUCCAUGGCUGUUAUGCGUUCUUGGCCUCUUUAUCAGUUAGAUAUUACAAAUGUUUUCCUUCAUGGGGAUCUUGCUGAGGAAGUUUAUAUGGAGCAACCACCUGGUUUUGUUGCUCAGGGGGAGUCUGGUUUAGUAUGCAGGUUACGUCGUUCUCUAUAUGACUUGAAACAAUCUCCUCGAGCAUGGUUUAGCCGUUUUAGUUCUGUUGUUCAGGAGUUUAGCAUGUUUCACAGUACAGCAGACCAUUCCGUUUUCUAUCAUCAUAACUCUUCGGGGCAAUGUAUUUAUCUGGUAGUUUAUGUGGACAACAUCGUCAUUACAGGCAGUGAUCAGAAUGACAUUCAGAAACCAAAGCAACACCUUUUCACCCACUUUCAGAUUAAAGACUUAGGGAAACUCAAGUAUUUCUUAGGGAUUGAGAUAACUCAAUCUAGUUCCGGUGUGGUUCUUUCCCAAAGGAAGUAUGCUUUAGACAUCUUGGAAGAAACCGUUAUCUUAGACUGUAAACCGAUAGACACUCCUAUGGCUUCAAAUGUCAAACUUAUACCAGGACAGGGAGAGCCUUUAGAAGAUCCUGAGAGAUAUCGGCGACUUGUAGGUAAACUGAACUACCUCACCAUUACUCGUCCAAACAUUUCUUUUCCUAUAAGUGUUGUUAGUCAAUUCCUACAAUCACCAUGUGAUAGCCAUUGGGAUGCUGUAAUCCGCAUUUUUCGAUAUAUCAAAAGCACACCAGGCCAAGGUGUGUUGUACGAGAAUAGCGGUCAUACCUAGGUUGUUGGUUACACAGAUGCAGAUUGGGUUGGCUCACCCACAGAUAGACGUUCCACUUCCAGGUAUUGUGUUUUUAUUAGAGGUAACCUAAUAUCCUGGAAGAGUAAGAAACAAGAUGUAGUGGCCAGAUCUAGUGCUGAAGCCGAGUAUUGAGUUAUGGCUCUGGCAACAUGUGAACUCGUAUGGCUUAAACAUCUUCUUCGGGAGUUGAGAUUUGGAAAGGAUGAACAGAUGAAGCUCAUCUGUGACAACCAAGCCGCUUUGCAUAUUGCAUCUAAUCCAAUCUUCCAUGAAAGGACCGAACACAUUGAAGUUGAUUGUCACUUCAUUAGAGAAAAGAUCGCAUCAGGAUGUGUGGCUACUAGUUUUGUCAAUUCAAAUGAUCAACUAACAAAUAUUUUUACUAAAUCUCUCAGAGGUCCUAGAAUUAAAUACAUUUGUAACAAGCUUGGUGCAUAUAAUAUAUAUGCUCUAGCUUGAGGGAGAGUGUUAGAUAGUGUACACUUAUUUCAGUUAUUUACUUUUCCUUUUCUUUCCUUAUUGUAUUGUGGGUCCCACUAACAUGUAUAUAUAUACCCAAGUCCAAUGUGUAUUAUCAACAGUUUUUAAUAACAAAAAUUAGGGUUUCUCCCUUUUCUCUCUUUUCAAAGUCCUUUAUGUUUUCUAGCAUUGCCAAUCCUCUUCCCUAAAUGUAGGUCUUGAAAUUCACACAAAUCAUGCGAGAAUUUGACAAUACAAUCCAUGUCUUUUGGCAGUUUACUAAUUGAAAGGUGAUUGCAUGAUAAUUUUGGGACAUGGAGAAUGGAUUUUAAAAAAUUAUUAGAAGCAAUUUCUAUUGUCCUAAUCCUUGCAAUUACAACUUUAAAGUUUCCUAGACGGGGGUGUAUGAAGAAAAAAUUUGCACCACCUAUCAUAUGGUUUGUAGCACCUAAAUCGAUGAUCCAAGAUUAAUGCAACUCAACCAAAGAAUUUAGAGCAGCAAAAAAAUACCUUUUUGCACUAAGAGAGAAGUAUUGGACUGUUGUGAUGGUUGUACAGGGGUAACCAUCUUUACAAAUUGCUCUUUUUCUAAGGGGAAGUUGGUAGGAUCUGGUACUGCCUCCAUCCCUUUUUGCAGUAUCACUUUUAGUCGCUGCCUGCAGUCUCAGUGAAUCUCAUCUAUUUACCUUCUCUCUCCAAUUUGGAGGUUACUCAUGUAUCCUCCAACAAUUGUCGUGGGUGUGAAGAAUAGUUGACCAUUUUUCCUCAUGUCCCACUGCUGAUCACCCUUGUUGGAACUCUGUACUCCAUGGGCAGCAAAAGCAGAUCCUUUAGAUAUAGGAGCCAAUGUCUUUGACUCUCCGAGCAUCACUCGUUUUCUGCUCUCUUCUCUUCUAACUUCAGAAAAAAUCACUAGAAUAUUCGGCACUGGUAUCGUUGCAAGACAUCACCCCCUCAUUUCAUUGAGUUCUUUAUUCAGCCCAGCCAAAAAAUCAUGAAUCCUAUCUCUCUCCUCCAUCUUCCUAGAACAAGUGUCAUCUUCAGAACAUCUCCAGUCAUUGUCAUUAAAUAUGUCCAUCUCUUGCCAUAAUUUUGUGAGCUCAUCGAAAUAUCUUGUCAUGUCUAAAUCUUCCCAUUUUAAAUCUCUGGCCUUAUUCGUUAAAGCAAAAAGUUGUGAAGUGUUUUCCAAAUCUAAAUACUUCUUUUUGGUGGAAUCCCAAAUGGCUUUUGUAGUCAAAUAUGGAAGAAAAGCUUGCCCAACAUUGUUCUCCAUCAAGUUUGCAAGUCAGGCCAUGAUCAUGGAAUUUUCGGCAUCCCGUGUCUGAAAAGAAGGGUCUUCUUCUUCCAGUUGCUUCUUGGCACCAAUGAGAUAGUCCAUCUUUACAUGUCUUCAUGUCACCAUUUGAACAGAGCGGGACCAGUGAAGGUAAUUUUUGCUGUUAAGUCUGUGGGCUGUAAUUUGCAAGGGGUUACUGUUGAGAAAAACAGCAGGAGCGACUGUAGGUGUCAGCUGAGAGGUUUCUGUUGAAACCUUUUUACACUUUUGGAGGGAAAUUGAUAAUUAGGGUUUAUGGCACUAUCAAAGAUUUACUAGAAUAUUCUUCUAGAAGUCUCACCUACAAGAUAAAAUAAUAAAAUUUCACUAUCAAAGAAAAUUGUAUCAACAAAUUCCUAAAAAAAGUUUUCUUGGAUACUCUAACUUUGCUUUUUUGAUCAAGAUGACAUAUGUUACUUUUUCAAUCACAAAAUUUAGAAUCAAAGAUUAGUUUUACAUACUCAAAACUCUAUAUAAGAAUGCAUUUUUAUCAUCCUGACAGAUGGAGAGGCUGUCAAAAUUUUCUACUGUUUUCCAUGUAGAAAUUCCAAAUAUAAGAUUCUGGUAAGGUUUGUAUUGAGUGGCAGCCACUUGUUCUUCAUUGGAUUGAAGUGAAACUUUGACAGGGGUAACUCAAGGCAUGGGAUUGAGAGUGUGUUCAGAGAUUACUGUGGCAAAGUGAUGAGAACAUUCUCCAAGCCAGUGGGCAUAGGUCAGUCACUGAGGCUGAGAUCUUAACCUUUCUGGAGGGCUUAAAUAAGUCAAAGUCACCGGGACUUGACCAUCUUAUUAUGAUUCACUUGGACAUUGUUAGUUUUUGGAAGACCCGAGAAAAGAGACUCUUGGAAUUAAAUGGAAUAAUAGUAAACAAUAUUGAUUUUUUGAAGGGUUAAGUUGCACCUUUUAAUUGCUCUUAGAUCAGCCAACCAAAUUGCAGAUCAGCUAACAAACAAGGUGUGUCAACACUUGAGGCCUUUUUUGGGGACUUCUGGCAUGCCCAAGUUAUUGUGCUUGUUGUUCUUGCAGUUUGUGUUGUUCAGAUCUCAUGGCUCUUCUUCUCUUGUAUUCUUCUAGUUACCUCUAGUUUUGAAGGAUAAUUCAUCCUUGGAACUCUUUUUCAUCCAAUAAAUAUGUUGUUUCUUAUAAUAUACAUGCGCAUGCCUAUCCAUUCUCUUUUAUUUGGCCUUGUUGAGAGAGAGAGAAAGAAGAAAGACCUUAAUUCUCAUUCAUGUAAUAUCUACUUACAAUUGAGAAAUAUAUAUAUAUACAAGGCUAGGAGUCCUAACUACCAUACAUGUGACCUAUAUUAACAAGGAAAUAUUAUACACUAUAAAUACAUUAUAUUCAACACUCCCCCUCAAGUUGGAGCAUAUACGUCAUAUGCACCAAGCUUGUUACAAAUAUAUUUAAUCCUAGGACCUCUGAGAGAUUUAGUGAAGAUGUUUGCUAGUUGAUCAUUUGAAUUAACAAAACUUGUAGCAACACAACCUAAUGCGAUCUUCUCUCUAAUGAAAUGACAGUCAACUUCAAUAUGUUUGGUCCUUUCAUGAAAGACUGGAUUGGAUGCAAUAUGUAAUGCGGCCUGGUUAUCACAGAUGAGUUUCAUCUGUUCAUCCUUUCCAAAUCUCAACUCUUGAAGAAGAUGUCUCAACCAUAUGAGUUCACAUGUUGCCAAAGCCAUAGCUCGAUACUCGGCUUCAGCGCUAGAUCUGGCCACUACAUCUUGUUUCUUACUCUUCCAAGAUAUUAGAUUACCUCCAAUAAAAACACAGUACCCUGAAGUGGAACGUCUAUCUGUGGGUGAGCCAGCUCAAUCUGCAUCUGUGUAACCAACAACCUAAGUAUGACCUCUGUUCUCGUACAACACACCUUGGCCUGGUGUACUUUUGAUAUAUCGAAGAAUGCGGAUUACGACAUCCCAAUGGCUAUCACAUGGUGACUGUAGGAAUUGACUAACAAUACUCACAGGAAAAUAAAUGUCUAGACGAGUAAUGGUGAGGUAGUUCAAUUUACCUACGAGCCGUCGAUAUCUCCCGGGGUCUCCUACAGGCUCCCCCUGUCCUGGUACAAGUUUGACAUUCGGAUCCAUAGGUGUGUCUACCGAUUUACAGUCUAACAUACCGGUUUCUUCCAGGAUGUCUAAAGCAUACUUCCUUUGGGAAAUGACCACAUCAGAACUGGAUUGAGCUAUCUCAAUUCCCAAGAAAUAAUUGAGUUUCCCCAAGUCUUUGGUCUGAAAGUGGGUAAAAAGAUGUUGCUUUAGUUUCUUAAUACCAUCCUGAUCACUGCCUGUAAUGACGAUGUCGUCCACAUAAACAACCAGAUAAAUACAUUGCCCCAAAGAGUUAUGAUGAUAGAAAACUGAAUGGUCUGCUGUACUGCAAAGCAUGCCAAACUCUUGAACAACAGAACUAAAACGGCCAAACCAUGCUCGAGGAGAUUGUUUCAAGCCAUAUAGAGAACGGCGUAACCUGCACACUAAACCAGACUCCCCCUGAGCAACAAAACCAGGAGGUUGCUCCAUAUAAACUUCCUCGGCAAGAUCGCCAUGAAGGAAGACAUUUUUAAUAUCCAACUGAUAAAGAGGCCAAGAACACAUAGCAGCCAUGGAGAGAAGCAAACGGACAGAAGCAGUCUUGGCAACAGGAGAGAAUGUGUCACCAUAAUCAGAACCAUAAACCUGAGUAUAGCCUUUAGCAACUAAGCGGGCCUUAAGGCGAUCAACAUGACCAUCAGGACCAACCUUAACUGCGUAGACCCAACAAUAGCCAACGGUAGAUUUACCAGAGGGUAAAACAACAAGAUCCCAAGUGCCAUUAGAGUGCAGAUCAACCAUUUCAUCCACCAUUGCCUGUCGCCAGCCUGGAUGGGAAAGAGCUUCAUGGGUGCUCUUUGGAAGAGAAACAGAGGAUAUAGCAGAAACAAAAGCAGAAUAGGGUGAAGAUAAUCGAUGAUAACUCAAAAAAUUGUAAAUAGGAUGAGGAUUACGAGUAGAGCGAGUACCUUUCCGAACAGCAAUGGGUAAGUCAUUAGGAGAAGGCAGAGCCGGGGCAGGUGAAGCCGAAGGGAUAGGAAGUGAGUCAGCAAAAAGGAGAGGAGCAACGACACGAGAGCGUCGAUGAUAAACCUGAAGUGGUCAAGGAGGCAUAGCAUCAGGUGGGGAGACAAUGGGAAUAGGUAAGACUUCAGAAACAAGAAGAGACUCAGAAGUGGUGGAAAAGAAUGGUGAGUCCUCAAAGAAGGUGACAUCAGCGGAGAUAAAGUAUCGAUGAGUCUCAAGGGAAUAACAACGAUAACCCUUCUGAAGUCUGGAGUAUCCCAAGAAGAGGCACUUCAUGGCUUUGGCGGAAAGCUUGUCCUGUCCAGGAGUGAGAAUAUGAACAAAGCAAGUACAACCAAAGACACAAGGAGGAAGGAAAUAAAGUGGUUGGUCAGGGAAGAGAAGGGAGUGAGGAAUCUGAUCGUGUAAGACAGAGGAGGGCAUAUGAUUAAUCAAAUAACAAGCGGUAAGAACAACGUCCCCCCAAAAACGAAAAGGAACAUUACUAUGGAGGAGGAUAGUACAAGCUAUCUCAACAAGAUGUCGAUUCUUGCGUUCAACUACCCUAAUUUGUUGAGGAGUAUGAGCACAAGAAGACUGAUGAAGAAUCCCAUGAUGAGACAUAAAUGAAGUAAAUGGGGCUAAAAAAUAUUCCCUGGCAUUGUCACUGCGUAACACACGAAUAGAAAUAUUGAACUGGGUUUGGAUUUCAGCAUAAAAUUUCUGGAAAAUAGAGAAUAACUCAGCUCGAUUUUUCAAUAAAAAUAACCAAGUACAUCAAGAAUAAUCAUCAAUGAAAGUGACAAAAUACUGAAAUCCUAAAGUAGACGCAGUCCGACAAGGACCCCAAACAUUAGUGUGGACAAACUCAAAAGGAGACUCUGCCUGAUUAUUCAAACGCUUUGGGAACGAGACAUGAGUAUGUUUCCCAAGCUGACAUGACUCACACGGAAGCGAUGACAAAGUGGAAAAACGAGGGACCAUCUUCUGGAACUUGGAGAGACUAUGGUGGCCCAGACGAUUGUGAAUGAGGAGAGGAGCAUCAGUGGAAAUGCAAACUGCUGGAGAUGAAUCCGAGGUGAGGUGAUAAAGGCCUUGAGACUCACGUCCUAUGCCAAUUGUCUUCCCCGUACUCCGGUCCUGCAACCAGGGAUGAAGGAAGGCUAGUCGGCGUCAGACGAGGCUGGAGGAGGAGGCGCGUGGCCGGGAAAGUCCUCACGGGCCCUCACGCGCCGGCGUGUGAGAUGCAGUCGCCGGACGGAAAAAUGCGCGUGGCCGGCGCGUGGAUGAUCUUUUGGUUCCAGUGCCUUCACAAAAGUUGGAGAUCUCCUCCAGGCGCUCCUUCUAGUAUGGUCAGUGUCGGAAAAAGACGUCGCCGGAAAAUUUUGCCCGCGGUGAGUGUUUUCUGACGACGAUCCGACUGAUCGGAAAGUCUUGGGAGAUGGGGAAGGUGACUGGAAUGAAACACGGUCACCGGAAGGUUUCCCGGAGUUGAUGACACGGGAAAUUGGAAAGAAUUAGGUUUUCUCCCUUGGCUCUGAUACCAUGUUGAGAGAGAGAGAGAAAGAAGAAAGACCUUAAUUCUCAUUCAUGUAAUAUCUACUUACAAUUGAGAAAUAUAUGUAUAUACAAGGCUAGGAGUCCUAACUACCAUACAUGUGACCUAUAUUAACAAGGAAAGAUUAUACACUAUAAAUACAUUAUAUUCAACAAGCCUCAUGAUGGUGAUAUUCUGCCUUAUAUCCCUGUCUCAAAGGGUUUGCAUUCAUAUAUUUUGAUUUUAUUUUUUUAGCCGCCUAUUUGUUACACCAAAGAAAUUGUCAAAGUGAUGUAAACUCCAUUGAUUGAAAUAAGAGUUCUCCAUUUCUUUACUCAAGUGAAAUGCCUUGAGAAGGUUGUCUGCUUAGUUUCCAUCCUUUCUUCCCCUCAUUCUUUAUUGUGGUUGUUAUUUAAAACGUGGUUUCAACUGUAUUGGCAUUGCACUUUGUUGAGCAACCGAUUUUCCUAAAAGGUCAAGCUUGUAGGAUUUGGGCCAACAAUGUACAUCAUGCAUGUACUCUUAACACCCUCCCUCACAUGUAACCUUCUUUGGGCUUAUAUAUGGACUUGAUAAAUUGGGAGACAAAAGUAACCUCUUGAAGCUUUAAGAGAUUGAGGAAAUAAACAUGUUAUGAAGUUUGAACGUAUGACCUCCUUCUAAGUGAGGUUAUGAUACCAUGUUGAAUAACCAACUUUCCUAAAAGUAUAAGCUUAUAGGAUUUGGUUCCACAAUACAUAUCAAACGCUCUAACACACUUCAAAUAAGAAUAAUCAUUUUAUGGUAAUGGACUACUUUGAGUUUGAUGCACUUAUUUGAUUGCUCAUUAUCAGGGAACACCAAUGAUGCUAAUGGGUGAUGAAUAUGGGCACACUCGCUAUGGAAAUAAUAACAGUUAUGGACACGAUACUGCUAUUAAUCAUUUUCUGUGGGGACAGGUAAAGUGAUUCUUCCUAUUCGCUUUCUCACAGUUUUUGUCUGGAUAACAUAACCAAUGGUGUAACAUUUUGGGAAGGCAGUUGGAUUCAAGGAAGAGGGAUCGCUUUCGGUUUUUUAAAGAGGUGAUAAAGUUUCGCCGCAUGCAUCAUGUUUUUGGACGUGAAAAUUUUCUUGAGAAGGUAAAUCGCUUUCUGCUUUCUGUAUUUGCAUUCGAUCAUGGUUUUUAAAAUUUAUGACAAGUUCCAUCAUACCAUUGGAGCCUCUUUCUCGUGUUUAUAUGGUAAUUUCUUUUCUUUUUUUUAGGUGCAAGUGAUCAUAAUUACCAAAUACUACAAGACCUUUUUAUUUUUAAACCAUUGAGUGUACUAAGAUGUACAUUUGGUAAUUUCUUAUUUUUCAAUAUACUACAUAGGUCUAAAAUUUCUCUGAAUUUUCAUCCAAAUUUUGGUUCUGGUCCAGGUUCCAAUUUUAACCAAUUGUUUUGGUUUAAGAAACUUCCAAUGUACAAUUCAGUCCAGUAAAUUUUUAGGAUUUCAGAAAUUACAAUUCAGCCCAGUAAAUUUUUAGGAUUUCAGAAAUGUUGAAGUUGAGCUGGUGCAAUUUUGACCCCAAUGUAGGAAAUCUUGAAACUUGUACUUUUGGUGGAAAACUAUGAUAACUUUGAAAUUUCAUGAACUUAUAUCAGAUGUUUAAUCAUUUAUUAGAUAUUUAAUUGUGUUGUUAUCCAUUUUUAAGAUGUUUAAUCAUAGUAGAGGGACUAUAUGGGAGCAACAUCUAGGCUAUGUUUGGUAUGCUAGAUAUGCUAUGGAUUAAGAUAAUAUACCUCUCAUGUGUGAUUGGGUAGAAUAAUGUAUGUUUUUCCACCUCGUACUCUAUAAGAUAAGAAAAACAAUAUAUCCAUUCCGUUUUUGAUAUUUCAUAUGCUUGAGAUUUAAUAAUCUCAUGGAGAGAGAACGGAUAUACAUAUCUCAUGGAUCAUAAAUUCUUCUCCCUUAGAUAUUUUCUUUUAUUUUAUUAUAUAUAUAUAUAUAUUUUUUUUUUCAUAUUAGUGACUUUGCAAAACAAACAAUUUUAAUUAAAAAAAUUAAAAUUUUGGUUCAAAAAUGUAAUAUUUUUUACUUAUAAAAAUUUAAACAUUUAAUUAUUAAUAAAGAUAAAAAUUAUUUAUUGAAAAAUAAACUGUGUAAAAAUCUUUAAUUAAUGCUAAGUAUGAGAGAAACUUCAUUUUUUCUUAAAUACCAAAUUUCCAAAAGUAAUUUAUUUUCUAUGAAAAGUAACUUAAUAUUAAGCUGAAAUAUGUUUUCUAUUCCAAUUUUUAGUCCUUUCAAAAACAAUCUUGAGAUAUUAUUAUGAUUGGAUAUGAUAUCACAUCCCAUUGAAAAUAAUAUCCUACGAAAUGUAUAUAUAGCCAAAACAUGUUCUUAGUCUUUAUGUGAUUAAACAUCUAAAUUAUAUGUAUCUUAACAAUAUACAUUUGUUUACUCCACAUACCCAUACUUGUCUUGUAUUAUGUUUUCUUCGGAAAUGUUUUGCCUCAAAAUCAUGCAAUAAUGUUUCUAUUAACAUUUCCCAGAAUUUGAUUUAGAAUUUCCCUAUUUUUGCUACUAAAUUUCACUGAUUUUUCCAUAAUUAAUGUCAAAAUGGAAAUCUAUAUUGAAAAUUCCAUAAAUUUGGUUCCUCGGUAUAAUUGUUGAAAUCCUGAGUUCAACAAUUACUGGUAGGUAAUAUUUAUGUUACUUCAAAUCCUGAUUUAGACAUUUUAUUCUUUGCUCUGGGUUCCCCUAUAUAUUUCCAUAUAAUUUCCUCUCUUCUUGCAUUGGCGGAAACAUUACUGGUAGGUAAUAUUUAUGUUACUUGCAAGUUGAAUUCCAUGCAUGGCCAGAAGAAUAUUGAUAAAGUUCACAGCAUUUGUGGCUAUGGUGUGGGAGAGAAGAAAUCCUUUUGGUUAAUUAUAGAUCCAUAUUUUAUUUUUAUGCAUGUUGCCUGUCUAUCAUCUAUCAUUGUUUCUCUACUUUUAAUGCUUGUGAAUUUAUGCAGAAAGAUGUGACAUGGCAUGAGGACAACUGGGACAAUUAUGAGAGCAAAUUCCUUGCAUUCACGUAAGAAAUAUAUUCUGCUGCUAAGUAAACAUGGAUGUCUAAAUCAAUUCUGCUUCUAAGUGUUUUAUUGCAUGAUGGGAUCGAGCUUACAUUCAUUUUUUCCUUUAUUUUCGAUUUAUUGAUAGUUCUAUUUUGUGUCAUCUUCUCCAAUUCAAGUCUAAGAAUCAGGAAAAUAACACUAGUACCUUUUUUCUCCUCAAGAACCCAUGGACAUGCCUUUUAAGUCCAGGAUAUGGUUUUCAAAAGAAACUAGACUUGUCUUCAUUGUUUCAAUCAUGUACUCACAUUAGAACACUUCUGUAUUGAACCUUUUAACCACAUUGACAGACAUCCAAGAAUUGUCUGUACUGGACUUUGUCAACAUGGCUAUGGGUGCAUCCAGUUUGUCACUGUUAAUUGUAUGUUCUUGAUUCAGUUUGUCCACCUUUUGGAUAGUUCCAAUAGGAGGAGAGACCACAGCUCACACAUGCAAUACCCUUCAGCUGGCUUAUACCUGGGACAUUAUUAUCUGACAACACAGGGGACCUAAACUAUAUCAUGUACUUGAAACCAUAUCACAUGCUUUCUGCUUCUACUAAAGAUUACCUAGAGAUAAAAGUAGGUUAUAAUUUUAUUUGUGAUGGGAGAUGGUAAUGUGCAGUUCUCAACUCCACCGAAAUGGUCGUACAAAUAUAUGUAUUUUGAGUUUUAUCAUAACUUGAGUUCACAGUUCCUAAUCCCUUGCUGCACUUGUGGAGUUCCUAAAUAUGGGGUAAAACUACUGGGGUUUGCCCAGCUAGUUCCAACCGAGUCAACAUGCUGACUCAUCCUAAUACUGCAUAUUACGUUUCACAAUAAGUGAAGACAUAUAGGACAAGCAGGAAGCACCUUUAUUGAACUAUUAGUAUUUGCAGACUUCAUGCAAAUAAUGGAGGAGACAUAUAUUUGGCAUUCAACACUCAUGACUUCUUUGUCAAAGUUGCAAUACCCUCACCACCAGCAAACAGGCGUUGGUUCCGAGUGGUUAGUUUUCUUCUCUACUUCUAGUCCAUAUAACAAAGUUUCCACUUCUUAACCUUGUUAACCUGCAUGUGCAUUAUUUGGUGCUUAAAAAAUGUGCAUUUAUGGCCUUCAUUUCUACAUCCCUAACCUCUUUUCCUUCAGCUCUCUAAUUGAAAUUCUCUGGCCUUCAUAACAUGGACUAAGCCACCCAUACUAGAGACCAGUGUGUGGAUAAUGAAAUUAGAGAAUAAUCAGCUACAAGUAUGAAGCUAUACCUGUCAGUGAAUAAUAUGAUUAUGGUGAUGGAAGAACUGAUUAGGAUUAACCAUUUUUUUCCUCAGAUCCCAUGGUGUUUCUCAAUUAAUGGUUUGUCCUUGAUUUUGUGUAGUGUCAUUUUCCAGCCCCCCAUUAUUUCAUUUUUAAUCAUUUAUACAUGAAUUUCUGAAGAAGUAUUCUUGAUGUUGAAUUACAGGUAGACACUAAUCUGGAGUCUCCCAAAGAUUUUGUCUCUGAAGGUGUCCCAGGCAUUGGAAGCGCUUACAAUGUGGCUCCUUACUCUUCAAUUCUUCUUGAAGCAAAGCUAUGAAUCGACUGUAGAAGCUUCUUAUAGAACAUUGCACCUGAACGCUAUGUCUCAGAUGUUGUCCCAUACAUCAGAGAGGCGGCCAAAAUUGAAGUUGUUGUCAUAUGGAUGUACAUUUCCUCUUCCAAGUAAUAAUAAAGGUGACUACAGAUGAGAGAAUAUCCAAGAUUCACAUCUUAAAUUUUAGAUAACCCAUUAACAAACAUGUACCAGCAUGAAUGAGAAUAAUAUAUUGGAGGAGAUGAUACCUAAAUAAGAGCAGGUUUGAUAGUAGCUCUUUAUACGUAUUAGGAUGUGGUUGAUUACAUCUUUGCACAGAUGAUGUAAUGUAGCACCUUCAUGGAAUGUAUGCUUUGAAUAAGAUGCGUCUUUUGCUUUUGAUGGGUGAAAUUGUGUAAAAGCGGUCAAGGGCUGGGUCCAAAAGUAUAGUCUAGGUCUUCUAUCCCGACCUUUGUGGAGUGGGUUAUGGUUGCCAGCUAGCUUUCCCUCCACAUUGCGGCUAGUUCCAUCUUUAACCAAUCAAGAUUGAAGGGGGAUGUUGUGUUGUUAGUAAUGUUUUCAGCAUUGGAUCCGUCAUUAAAUCGAAAAGGUUACUAGUUUUCGAUUUAUUGAUUGGGAUGGCGAUUGAACCAGUUGAAUUGAUAACAUUACAAAUAUAUAUUAUUAAAAUUAAAAAAAAAAAAAAAACUUUCUAAAUUUUAAUGGCAUCUACUUCUUUUUUGUUGAGUUUUUUAACAAAUUUUUUUACUUAGUAAAAAUCAUCAAUCAUAGUAUAUCAUACCUCUAACACAAUAUAAGAUGUUAUAUAUUCAUAAUAACAAAUCAAUCUAAUAUUUAUUAAAUAAUUAAACCAUUAUCACCCUACAUCCAAAUAUGAGCCAAUAAUGAUCGAAUUAUCAAAAAGUUAUUAACACAUUAUUCAUAAUAAAUAAUACAAUUAAAAUAAAAAAAAUCAAUAAUUUUAAAUAAUUAUAAAAUAAAAAUAAAGUAAAAAUAUAUCAAAUUUGUAAUAAACUAAAUAAAUAAAUUUCAAUUGCAAUAAAUAAAUUUAUAAAAUUUUCAAUAAUUUUAAUAAAUUAAAAUUUCAAUAUGUAAUAAAUAAAUAAAAAUUAUAAAAAUUAAAUAUUAAACAUAAUAUUAAUUAUAAUCAACAAAAAAUUAAGAUAUUAAAUAUUAAAUAUAAAAUAAAAGGGAACUAUCGCCAGUUUAUCAGGUCCAAUCUCAAUUCAACUCUUAACCGACUCAAUUAACUGAAUCGAACCGUGAUCGGUUAACGCUCAAAAACAGUUUUUAAAACCAUGGUUCUGAGUUUGUGUUUAUCAAUGGAAGGUCCAUCAUCCAUGACGAUGCUUUUUCGGAGAUAUUUUAACAGUGACAGGUGCUUAACACGAUGACCCAAAUCCAAAUAAACCAAUAAAGAGAGGAAGAAUUAAAAAAGCAAUCAAAUGUGGUCCAAUCUGGGACAGUGACAGGCAAUCAGCAUUUCAGAGCGAGUGAUUCGCCUCCCGCUUCUGUCACAAGGAAACAAUCUAGUACCGUGAAUGUGAACCUUUGGACAGACCCCAUCGUACUAUAUUUGUUGACCACUCGACCAUCAACCACUCCUUUUCAUCACCCCCUUCCCCUUCUGUCUUUUUGUCUUUGUUAUCAGAUUUAGAUAUGUACCAUUUUUGUUUUUCAUUUGGCACCAUUCCCCCCGCUCAGCCAUUUUUCCAUUGCUCGUUGUCUUCUUUCAUCUCUCCAGUCUCUUCUUCCAAAUAAAAUACUAAUAAUAAUUUCUCCAACAUUAAAAAAAUAAAAAGUAUAAAUCAGGGGGUUUAUAUGAUUAUAUCCAUGUUGAUUUGUGGGUGGUGUGGGAUUUUGAGCUACUUGGGGUCAAAAUUGAGGACGUGGGAGAGUGAAUGGUCUCAUUGGUGAAAUUUCUUGAGAGCUUUUGAUUCGUACGUAUCACUGCAAAAAGAGACCAAAGAAGCUAUGCCCUCAAGGAGUCAAAAUGGCCAUAAAUUCAUUGAGUACUUUAUCCUCUGAAUGAAGCUUUCUUUACUUCAACAGUCCGUAACCAAAACACUAGUCAUAGAAUUCACUGACCUCAAACAAUAUAUUACUGACAUAAUAAGUAAUUUUAGUCGUGUGAAUUAAUAGUAAAAUGAAAGUUUUUUUACCGCAAAAAGUCCCGGACCAAUUUCACGUCAAAACUAAGAGCUAAGGAACACAGAAUCUUUCUGCGACAUUAGAAUCACUCCAAAGAAAUAAAUGAUUAGAAUUUUCGAAUGGCCAAAAAACUGCCUUCAUUAUUUUUUUCAUCAUUCCUUAAAUAACAAACCAAUAUUCAAAUCUCCAACUCCAAGUAGGAAAGCAUUAAACUCCAAAGAAAUAAACUAGGAAAGCAAUGAACUAGGAAAGAAUAACAUUAAAAAAAAAAAAUAGAAUUGCAACAAAUGCGUAAGAUUCCUAACAGUCCUCUGAAGAACUUGACUCUGGCAAGUUUUGAUGAAUGUAAGUAUCAUCAAAUAAAUGUGGGUGUAAAUGCUUGACUUUUGAAACUUGCAACCAAACAGAGUUCGAAUUUGGACGAUUUGUCCACUGCACUAAGAACUUGUAAUAUCCUCCUCGAUGAGUUGUAACAAAUUGAUGGUCAAGAAUGACAGCAAUCUCAUCUCGUGGUGCUGUAUUUUCUGGAACCCGUGGAACUGGUGUUGCCUUUGGUAACGGUGUUGCGGUAUUUUCAUCGACAUCACCUUUCAACUCCGUAAGAUCUUCUAUGUUAAAAACAGGGCUAAUACCAAAUUUAGAGGGUAAUUCAAUAACAUAUGCAUUGGUGCCUAACUUAUUGGUUACUCUAAAAGGACAUGCUCGGCGUGCAUGCAACUUGGUAAAACUCCCGAAAAGAAUCGCCCUAGCCUUAAACGAACAAGGACCAUAUCACCUUCAUUAAAUUACCGAUCUUUGCAUUUUGCAUUUGCUAAAGCUGCAUAAGAAUUUGCAUGGAUGGUAAGGCUUCGUUUGCAUUCUUCAUGGACAUCUUGCAUAUAGCUAGAAAAAUCCAGUGCGGCCUUACUUGACCUGGGUGACAAUGGCAAUGAAUUAAUAUCAAGUAGAGUGCUAGGUCGGAACCCAUACACCACUUCGAAUGGAGUGCAGCCUGUUGUCUUGUUAAUAGAAUUAUUGAAAGUAAAUUCGGCAUGCAGAAGCACCAUAUCCCAACUGGUCACAUGAUCCAUGACAAGUCAACGUAAUAGAUUUCCCAAACUCCUAUUGGUCAUCUCAGUUUGGCCAUCAGUUUGGGGAUGGAAUGCACUAGAAAACAUAAGUUUUGUUAUCAUCUUUGUCCACAAUGUUUUCUAGAAAUAACUCACAAAUUUGACGUCUCGGUCAAACACAAUCGAAGCCGAAAUACCAUGCAAACGGACAAUUUCUUGCAAAAAUAUUGUAACAACUUUUGAUGCGUCAUAAGUUUUGUGACAUGGAAUAAAAUGAGACAUCUUGGAAAAACGAUCAACCACCACCAUAAUUGAAUCAUGUUGUCGAAGAGUUCUUGGCAACCCAAGAACAAAGUCCAUACUAAUAUGUUGUCAUGGUUUGUCGGGAAUGGAAAGUGGCGAAUAGAGCCCUCCUUGCUGCUUGGUGCCAUUGUUUAAUUGGCAAAUCCGACACCAAUCAACCAUUGUAUGCAUGUCUCUCUGUAUCCGAGGCCAAUAGAACCGAUCAACAACAAUAGCCACACAAAAUGCCUAACUAACCCCCCCCCCCAUGGAGUUCCGUAAUUAGAAACUCCCGAAAAAAGCCACACGAAACGCAUAGUCGUGAUUUAUAGAAUAAGAAACCAUCGUGCAACAUAUAAUCAUUACUAGAUAUGCGCUAAUGAGCGGAGAGAUCACUCUAUAUAUUGCUGAAGUCUUUAUCGUUGGCAUACUCUGUUUUUAGAUUAUCAAAUCCUGUGACAUUAGCUAAAAACACAUGUAACAAGUGUGGUCUCCUGCUUAAGGUGUCAGCCACCUUAUUUUCAGCCCCUGACUAUGUCUGAAAACGAAUUUGAAUUGCUGCAGAUAAUCCAUCCAACGAGCAUGUCAUGCAUUCAGUUUACUUUGGGAAGUUAAAUGCUUCAAAGAGUCAUAGUCUGUAUAAGGAAUAAAUUCUCUGUGGAUCAAGUAUGGUCAUCAAUGCUUGAGAGUUUGAAUUAAAGUAUAGAAUUCCAUAUCAUAUACCAAGUAUCGUUAAGUUUCUCAUUGAAAAAAACAAUAGGGUGAUCUUCCUGACUCAACACACCUUCAAUGCCCACAUGUGAAGCAUCACAAGCUACUUCAAAAAUUUUAGAGAAGUCUGGUAACUUAAGUACUAGUGCUUGCCCCAUUCGUUUUUUAAUUUCGAAGAAUGCCUUGGUAGCUGCGGCACUCCAUAGAAUUUUUUUUUUUCAAGCACUCGGUGAUUAGGGACAUUAUAGUGCUAAAACUGCGAAUAAAUCAUUGGUAGAAUGUAGCCAAACCAUGGAAGCUUCUGACCUCGAAAAAAUUAUGGGGCGUUGGCCAAUUUUGGAUAGCUUGCACCUUUGCAGGAUCAACCUCAACACUUUGAUCAGAAAUUAUAAAACCCAGAAACUUGACAUUUUUCUUCAUGAACGAGCAUUUGUCCUGAUUAAUAAAAGUUGUUCGGCUCUCAAAACCUUCAAUACUUGCUCAACAUGGCUUAAAUGAUCCUGCAAAUUUUGGCUAAAAAUCAAAAUAAACAACGACAAAUUUUCCCAAUAAUGGUUUGAGAACUUGUGUCAUCAUGCGCAUGAAAGUGUUUGGCGCGUUAGUUAAUCUGAAGAGCAUAACUAGUCAUUCGAACAAACCAUCGUUUUGAAGGUAGUCUUCCACUCGUCCCCUGACCAGAUACGGAUUUAGUGGUAACCACUUCGAAGGUUGAUCUUAGUGAAAAUAGAGGAGCCACAUAGCAAAUCCAACAUAUCAUCAAGAUGGGGAAUGGGAAAUCGAUACUUCACGAAUAUCUUAUUAAUUGUUCGGCUAUCAACGCAUAUCCUCCAACUACCAUCCUUCUUUGGUGUGAGUAAAACCGGAACAACACAAGGGUUGAGACUUUCUCAAAUAAAACCUUUGUCUAGUAAUUGUUGAAUUUUUCGACUGAGUACUUCAUUCUCCGCUGGGCUCAUACGGUAGUGUGGUAAAUUAGGCAAAGUUGAGCCAGGGAUCAGAUCGAUAUCAUGUUGCACUUCCCUCAUUUGAGAUAGUUGAUUCGACACUUCACCUGGCAUGGUAUCCUGAAAUUCCUCCAACAUUGUCGUCAAUUCUGUUGGAAUAUUACCGUCCACCUGUUGUACUUCACGUUUUAUGACCAUAAGCAACAUAUCACCCUCAUGCAAGACUCGAGAGAAUUGUCGCAUCGUCAAAACUAGGACUGCUUUUUUUCUUGCCUCAAAUUCUAAAAUCUGUAAAGGAUCCAAAACAAAUUCCUUACCUUUGAAAGUAAAAGAGUAAGUGUUAGCAUACCCAUCGUAGAUGACCUUCCAAUCAUAGAGCCAUGGACGUCCCAAUAACAUGUGACAGAUUGUCAUAGGGAUUACAUCGCACCAAGGUUCAUCCAUAUAUUUUUUUCCCAAAGAAAAUUUAACCAAGCACCGUUGCUUCACUAAUAUUGAAUUAGCUUCAUUAACCCAAUUGAUCCGAUAAGAAGUAGGAUGGUUCUCAGUCUUCAGCCUCAAACGUUUGACAGCCAUUUCAGAGAUCAUAUUCAUGCCACUGCCAUUAUCAAUAAUAACAUUCAAGGCCUUUUGUGGAACCGCCUUUUGUAAUUACAGUUUUUUAGUGUGGUGUUAUUGCCAUGUUUUUUUUUAUGCAGAGAGAAAAUAUUGUAGCCGAAAGUUGUACUUUGUAUUCUUCUCUAAUAAUAGUGAUAUCCCUGCAACUCCAUGGAUAUAGGCAAAUGGCUAAACCAUGUAAAUAUUGUCUUGUGCGUGUGAUUGUUUUUCUUUGACGUGUGUUUUCUCUAUUUUUUUUGUUUCUCACAGGUUGGGAAUUCGGCUUAAUUUCCUUCAGUAGUGCCCUUAGAUUGAUCUUUCAGCAAUGAAGGCGUGGUAACACGUUCUUGUCUUGAAUCCAUUGACGACAUUUUCCUCCCAAACGAAGGCCCCAUUUGUUUCUUAAUACGAAGUGCCAUUUGAUACGCCUCCUCCACGUUGAUUAAAUGUGCAGUCCACAUUUCUUUGUGUAGUUUAUUGGGCUAAAGUUUGUUGCUCGGUCUCCACGAUCUUGCUACGGGCAAUCAACUCGUGGAAGUGAUUCGUAAAUUGAUCAACACUCAAUGACCCUUGCCUGAGUUGCAACAUCUCCUCGAACAUCAUCUCCUCAUAAUCAAUGGGCAAAUAUUUUUCCUUUAGUCGCUUCUUCAUCUCUUUCCAGUUAGAAACUGUUGGUCGUCGUGUAUGGCAUAAUUGUUCUUCCACACUUCCCCACCAUGCUCGUGCAUGCCCCUUCAAUUUCAUCCGGACAUAACGAACCUUUCUAUCCUCCAAUACAUCAAACCAAUCAAAAUAAUCCUCGAUAGUCGUUAACCAGUCCUCAAAAGCAUUGGGUUCCAAUUUUCCAAAAAAGUCUGGUACAUCAACUCUCAUUCUCUUGGUCAGUUCAUCAAGAGGUUGAUAAGCUGCGUGAUGUCCAGCAUGACCUCAAUGAAAAUUUUGUCUAUGACGUCGGAUUCGAGGCUCAUGAUCCUUAAACUCUUGAUUUUCUUCAUUUUCAUCAACAUCUCCAUCACUUUCGUCCAACCUCCCCCCAUCACGAACUACUCUGCGCCCUUUUCGAUUGAAGUGCCCAUACUCCUCUCGAGCGUAUCGCUCAUCCAUGACAUCUAGUCAAUGAUUGAGUUGCUCCAACACUGUGGCGAUUUGAUCUAUUUGGUGUUGCAACUGGGGUUGGUUUGUGUUUUGGUUAUUUGAGUUUUGGUCGUUUGUAUUUUGGGUGUUUGCCAUGGCGUAUGAAUUGCCACUGCGGGUUACAAGCAUGGAACCGCUUUGAUACCAAAAUUGACGCCAAACGUCUUGGACCAAUCUCACGUCAAAACCAAGAGCUAAGGAAACACAGAAUCUCUCUACAACAUUGGAACCACUCCAAAGAAAGAAAGGAUUCGAAUUUUCGAAUGGCCAAAAAAUUGUCUUCAUUAUUUUUUUCAUCAUUCCUUAAAUAACAAACCAAUAUUCAAAUCUCCAACUCCAACUAGGAAAACAUUGAACUCAGAAGAAAUAAACUAGGACAACAAUGAACUCAGAAAGAAUAACAUAAAAAAAAAAAACAGAAUUGCAACAAAUGCGUAAGAUUCCUAAUAGUCCUCUACAUCACAUAAUAGCUUUCAUGGCUUACGGAAUUAUGAGAUAUUCUUUUCCGAUUUGCAUCAUUUUUAUUUUUUAGUUGGGAAGAAGGUAUUGAGUAGGAGAGGGAUAAAUCAUAAAAGAAAUAUUUUAGAAGUGAGAGAACGAAAUGAUAUCAGAUAAAAUGACAUGAUUUUAUAACAAAGUUAGGAGAGUUACUAGUGGUAUCUAAUGGAAUAAUUUAUUUAAAGCUUUCCUCGUACAAAAAUUAAUGAUACAACCAUGACUUAAUUUUUUUAAGUUAAUAUUAAAAUUUUAAAAAUAAAAUAGAAGUGAUAAACAAAUUUGAAGUUACUUUAUCUCGUAUAAAAUUAAAAUUAAUUUAUCUAAAAUUAAUAAAUAAAGAUAAAUAGUAAAAAAUAUUUAUGAUAAAAAAGGUAAAAAAGAAAAGAAGAUACGUGACAUGUUAGAGACACAAUAAAGGCUUUUAUUGUGAAUAAUAAAAUUGAAUACCGAAAAUAAAAUACUAUCAUAAAUGUGAAUUUUGAUUUACAUUUAACUCAAGAUUUAUCAAACAUUUAUAAAUUAAAAUACAUUAAAAUGAUUUCACUAAUAUAAAAAUAUAAAUUAUUUAAUUUAAUAUUAACAAGUAAAAAAUAAAAUCAUUUAGUAUUCUAACCAUAGAGCCGUUGUAAGAAACUGUUGAAAUUACUGGUACGAUGCGAUAUGUGGUAAAAUAUGAAUAAAAAAACCAUAGGAAAUGUUUUGGGGUAAGAAGUUGAUUGGAGAUGGAGAUGGAUUGUGUAAAUGGGGUGGAGUUUUCUAGGAUGCUGAAGCCUGAGGGUAUGCCAACAUGCUUGACUUCGCCUCAUUUCUCAACGCUAUCACGCUUUCAGAUUUAUGUUACCAGUUUUACAAGCAAACGCGUUGGAAACUCCCACUAUCAUGGACAUUGUCAACAUAAGACGUGUGACGGUCCAGAUUUUUAUUUUUUAUUUUUUAUUUUUAAAUAAAAGUUAAGAUUUAUUUAUAUUUAAUAUACAUACGCAUCCUAAAUACUUUCAUUCACCCCAGGCGUGGACCGCAUGUCCCUAUUGCCUAUUGGAGAUGAAUUAAACAAGGACGCCGUCAAUAAAAUAAUAACAAACGAUUUGUAAAUAAACAAAGAGGAGACGGUCCACACCUCCUCAUUCGUGGUACAUGCAUCAUCAACGUGCCAAUCAUAAUUUCUUCUUCUUUAUUUAUUAUCAUGUAUUUUUAUUUUUUAUUUUUUAGAGCAAAAAAUCUAAUCAACGAACUCUUACCUCGAGUCAAAAGGAUCACACCCACCACUGCGAUCAAGUGGUUACGUGUACCGUGGAGAUGCAGUUCGGUGUGAAGGAAAAGGAAAGACCGUAAUGACAAAGGAUGAAAGGAAGCAAAUAAACGGCUGAGAUUGAAUACACGUUUGUUGAUGAGUUGUCACCCAAUAGUUAGAGGAGGGAGAGUUGGCCUUGAAAUUGUAUUGCGAGAAGUAAAGGAAAUUUCCAAGUAAGUGUUUUAAAACCGACUCAAACCCAACCCCUCACCCCACUCCUAUAUAUAGGGCCUUUUCCUCGGUUCUCUUGAAAACUCACACUCUCUCUACCUCUACAAGUUCUAAGUUCUAUUCUCUCUCUUUCUCAAACUCUUUGCUUUCUGUGUUUUUGAGCGAGAAACGAGAAUAGAAAGCGACAAUGGCUUACUCAAGCGUGGUGCUCGUGAUGAUGUUUGCUUUGGUGGCUGGAUCGGCUUUCGCUCAGUCUCCCGCAUCGUCACCGACUGCUUCUCCUACUAAGUCGCCAACGGCUUCUCCUCCGGUGGCCACUCCCCCGUCUCCAACACCUUCUCCAUCCACCACUCCUUCUGCCCCUGCUCCCGCCCCAUCCACCGUAUCACCACCAGCCUCUACUCCAUCUCCUACAUCGGGUUCUCCUCCCGCACCUCCAACGAGUCCUGCUUCGCCACCCACCACUGGUGCCUCACCGUCUCCUUCCAUCAGCAC